AAGCGUUUGAUUGAAGAUGAAUGAAAUACCAAAAAGUGAAACUACGCCUGACAAUUAUUGAACAGUUGUUUUUGUAGAUAAGUAUUAGUGGUAUGGAAGUGACAAUAAAUUGUAUAAAUUACAUACGGGCAGAUCAUACAAAAAUGAUAACAAUGUUAUAAAUUAACACGAACCCCCCAAAAAAACAAAAAAAAACAACAACAACCUUACCGAAGACCGAGUUGUUCAUGAGUUUGAAGAAGUUCUUCUCGUAAGCAGUCUUGGCUUGUUGUCGCAUUUUGGUGUUGAACUCAACGUAGGGUUUCAUGAAAGCCUCUUGUUGGAACUCUAAUACUUUAUGUAUUUUUUUCAAUUUUAGACCGAGUUGGAGAUACAGUUGCAGGUUGCGAUAGUGAAGUACAUAAUUCUGUUUGUUUUCUAAAGUGGUGAGUAAUUUUUCCACCUUUGCUCUGGGUGGAAGUUCCUCACUGUUGUGUAAAUGUUUCAACACAUGUUGAGCAUAAGGAGAUAAUUUUUCAUUGGGUGUGAAUUUACGUUCCGGAGCUAAUGGGUAGUCGUUAUGACUGUCAUGUAAAUGUUUUGGAUAUUCUAGAUCUACUUCUAGAAUAUACCCCUUAGAUCCAUCCUCUGGUAUUUUUUCAGGUUCAAAAGUAUCAAUUUCUUCCUUCUGUAAAAACUUAAAGAAUGUUACUAACUCGGAAACUCAAUAGUAAAUGAACUAGUUUGUCAAAUGUUUUGGUGGGAAAAUAUUCCACCAAAAUGUGAAUUUGGAGGGAAAAAAGUUCGCCAAACAUUUGAAUUUUAAACAUUUGAAUUUCAAAUACUAUAGGGAAUCCAUUUCAAUUUGUUAAUUAUCUUUGUUUUUCCCCUUUUGUUUUGUUUUGACUUUACUUCUUUGAGAUUCUCAUUUUUUUUCUUAUUUUUUUUUUUUUAGGUUUUUCAAAAAACUUGUUUAAACGUUUCACGACUAGUCUUUUCUGUAAAUUUCUGUCAUUUUGAAUUGAUUUUUUCUGUAACUUCCCGCCAUUUUGAGUCAACCUUUUCUGUGAAUUCUUACCAUUUUGUUGUAAUACCAUGUUAUUGUUUUUAGAAGGUUGACUGUUUUGUAAACUUCCAUCACAUUUAGAGAGUAAGUAUUCAUACUUUGAUUUAGGAAUUAACACUAAUUCUUGAGCCAUGAUUCACUGGGUUUAAUUAACGCUAAAAACUGUUUGAAAUAUUUUAACAGAAUGGCUUUCCUCGUUUUUUGAGAUAGUCUUUUGGAUAUUACUUUACGUAUGACAUGUCUAUAUCGUUUCAAGUUCUUUUUAUCCUUUUCUGGAAUGACAAGAUUUCCCCUGAUAGCAUUGUAAAUCACCUCUAUAAGUGCAGCCAAUUGAGAUUUUGUUAAGUUUUUUAUCAACAUUUUUUGUUGUUUUUCAUUGGUGUUGAUCAUAAAUUUUAAAAAAUGUCUCUCCUUCUGUAGUUUAUCUUCCAUUUUUCUCCUUUUCAGGUAGAAAUACAAUGGGGGUUUGAUGUGGAAAGAUGUCUGUACGAAGUUUAUAUAACGGGUUAGAAUGUGGACUUACAUCCACCAGAAGCUUGGGGAUGUCUCGCCAGAACUUAGCCAGAAUGCUGGAGAACUACGAUACAACUUCACAUUAACAUCCACUUGGUUUAACAGAUCGAGAUAGUCCAUCGAAUUCUGACCACUGAUUUGAAACUCAAUGGGAGUAUCAUCCGACACUUGGGAUAUUGGACGAAUCUCUUGAUAAUGGACAUCAUUCACCGCAACUUGUGUAGGAGCUCACUUUUCGCCUGGUUUACUGUCUGUUCCGAUGGGGAAACUGUGCUGAUUGUCAUACCAUUACUUCCCAUCUUCGACUUGUGUGGAAUGGCAAAUCCCCUCCCAACUUGAGAUCAUCCGGGGAUAUCGCCAUAUUGAAAACCCGCCAGAGGUUCGGUCCACGUCCAUGGUGCUCGGGAUGAGUCAUUGGAGGACGAAGAUCGGGUGUCCUUAUGCUGCCAUGAAAUGUCGUUUUUAUGAUGUCCAAUUAUGUUCAAAAAUAAACAACUUGGAGAAUGUG